CCAGCUACUUGGGAGCCUGAGGCAGGAGAAUUGCUUAGACCUGGGAGGUGGAGGUUGCAAUGAGCUGAGAUCACUCCAUUGCACUCCAGCUUGGUUGAUAGAGCAAGACUCUGUCUCAAAAAAAAAAAAAAAAAAAAAAAUUUAAAAAAAAAAAAAAAAAAAAAAAAAAAAAAAAAAAAAAAAAAAAAAAAAAAAACCAC
rnacentral:lncRNA from 1 species